AAGUGGAGCAAAUCUCAAAAAAUUGUCUCAGUUCGGAUUGCAGGCUGCAACUCGCCUGCAUGAAGUCGGAAUUGCUAGUAAUCGCGGAUCAGCAUGCCGCGGUGAAUACGUUCUCGGGCCUUGUACACACCGCCCGUCACACCAUGGGAGUCGGUAACACCCGAAGUCCGUAGCCUGACGCAAGAGGGCGCAGCCGAAGGUGGGAUUGAUGACUGGGGUGAAGUCGUAACAAGGUAGC
rnacentral:rRNA from 1 species